GGGCUGUAUGUCGUUCAGUGGUAGAGUGUUGUGUUUUCUAUGCAGAAGGUCCCAGGUUCAACCCCUGGGAUCUUCA